rnacentral:rRNA from 1 species
UGGGGAAUUUUGGACAAUGGGCGCAAGCCUGAUCCAGCAAUGCCGCGUGCAGGAUGAAGGCCUUCGGGUUGUAAACUGCUUUUGUACGGAACGAAACGGCUCUGUCUAAUACAUGGGGCUAAUGACGGUACCGUAAGAAUAAGCACCGGCUAACUACGUGCCAGCAGCCGCGGUAAUACGUAGGGUGCAAGCGUUAAUCGGAAUUACUGGGCGUAAAGCGUGCGCAGGCGGUGAUGUAAGACAGGUGUGAAAUCCCCGGGCUUAACCUGGGAAUUGCAUUUGUGACUGCAUCGCUGGAGUGCGGCAGAGGGGGAUGGAAUUCCGCGUGUAGCAGUGGAAUGCGUAGAUAUGCGGAGGAACACCGAUGGCGAAGGCAGCUUACUAUGGUUUUAUUGACGCUGAGGCACGAAAGCGUGGGGAUCAAACA